rnacentral:snRNA from 1 species
AACGUUUUGCCUUUUACUCCAUCUGUUCUUAUCAGUUUAAUAUCUGAUACGUCCCCAUCGGGGGACUACAUAUUAAAUGGAUUUUUCGAACAGGGAGUCGGAAAUGGGGCUUGCUCCGCCCGCCUCCACGC